AUGCCCCCACAUAUUUUUCCCGUAUAUCUAGUGCUGGUCUUAUAUGCCACAAGCAUGUCUAUUAUGGUUAUGAGAGCUUCGACCAAUGAGACGAUGAUUCCUUUGGGGUCCUCCAUCAAUACGAGCACCACCAAGAGCUGGUUCUCCUCUUCGGGGCGCUUCGCAUUUGGUUUCUAUCCUGACGGUGAAGCCUUUGCAAUUGGGGUUCGGCUUGUAUCCGGUGAUACAAGUAUCAUAGCAUGGACUGCCAACCGAGAUGAUCCCCCAAUUUCUCUUGGUUCUAUUACAUUGGGAUACAGCGGUAUACUCCAGUGGUCCCGAACCCCAUUGACUCCAGGUACCCAACGGAAUCCCAUAUCUGACAGCUCUACACCGGCUACCUCUGCUGCCAUGCUGAACACCGGUAACUUUGUGUUGUAUGACAUGAACCGGACGAUUAUUUGGUCUACCUUUGAUUCUCCAACUGGUACUUUGUUGCCAGGCCAGAAUCUGCGUCCUGGUGCGCAGCUUUUUGCAAGUGUCUCCGGGAAUAACCGUGCUAGGGGGAAGUAUUACCUUAACAAUCAACUAGACGGCAAUCUUGUGCUCUACCCUGCUGGCACGAUUGACUCUGAUAGUGCAUAUUGGUCUACUGUCACUUCCAACAAGGGCCUCCUCCUCACGCUUUCUUUGGAUCCCAAUGGUACCCUAUGGAUGUUUGACCGGAAGACCUCCUAUACAAAGGCAUUAUUCCAGACCAAUCAAUCCCUUAGUGCCUCAACAGCUGUGGAAAAUUACUACCGGUUGACAUUUGAUGCCGAUGGCAUCUUACGACUCUACUCACAUGUUUUCCUUAGUCUAGGGAGUAAGCCUACAACUAAGGUUCAGUGGCAAGUGCCUGGAAGUGAUCGCUGCCUUGUAAAUGGUGUCUGUGGUCCGAAUAGCUUCUGUCAGCUCACCGUGACAGGAGAAACUAGCUGCACUUGCCUUCCCGGUUUUGAGUUCUUAAGCACUAACCAGAGCACACUUGGUUGCUGGAGAACAUUGCCGGACAGCGGUUGUGCGAAGAAUAGCAGCAGCUCCGAUGAGGGGACGAGAGUGAUGAGCACAAUGGUAGAAGUGAAGAAUACUACUUGGGCAGAGAAUGCGUAUGCUGUUCUACCAGAAACCGCAAGCAUUGAAGAUUGCAAGUUACAUUGCCUCUCUGAUUGUGCCUGCGAGAUUUCUAUGUUUAGUGACUCCUAUUGCUCAAAACUGAUGGUUCCAAUUAGGUAUGGCAGGAAUUCUGGUUCCAACAGCACACUAUUUGUGAAGGUCUACACCUACCAUGCCAUCCAAAAGAAUAAAAUUGCUGGAGCAGGUGCCAUGUUUAUCUCAGGUGUUUCCUUGGUCGUCCUCUCACUGGUUGUGCUCUCUGGAUCUGUGCUUCUUAUCUGCAGAUAUAAACCAUCUUUGAGGUACAUGAGGGCACCACAACUGGAGGAUUACAUGGUUGAUGGGGACAGCGUUGGCCUGCAAUCCUAUUCUUUUGGGGACAUAGAUGUGGCCACGAAUGGAUUUUCCCAAGUGCUUGGUAGGGGUGCUUACGGUACAGUGUUCAAGGGUGUCCUGGCCAACAUGAACAAGGAGAUUGCAGUGAAGAGGCUCGAGAAGAUGGCUGAAGAUGAGCAGAGAGAAUUUCAUAGGGAGGUGCGUGCAAUUGCAAGAACACACCACCGGAACCUGCUGCGCUUGCUUGGUUUCUGUAUUGAGGGCACGUGCCGCCUGCUUGUGUACGAGUAUAUGCCGAACGGAUCCCUUGCAAGCCUCCUUUUCAACUCAGAUGCACCGCCUAGCUGGAGCAAGAGGGUUGCGAUUGCACUAGAUGUUGCAAGGGGGCUGCAGUACCUGCAUGAAGAGAUACAGAACCCGAUAAUCCACUGCGACAUCAAGCCGGAAAACAUACUCAUCGACAGUUCAGGGAUAGCCAAGAUUGCUGACUUUGGGCUUGCAAAGCUACUGAUUGGGAACCAGAGCAACACACUCACCGGCGUCCGAGGCAUGAGAGGCUAUCUCGCACAAGAAUAG
rnacentral:rRNA from 1 species